rnacentral:rRNA from 1 species
GAUUCGGGGUGCAGCAGGCGCGAAAACUUCGCAAUGCGCGGAAGCGUGACGAGGGGAUUCUGAGUGCUUACGGUUUUACUGUAGGCUUUUCGUUAGGGCAAAUACCUAGCGGAAUAAGUGGUGGGCAAGACUGGUGCCAGCCGCCGCGGUAACCCCAGCGCCACAAGUGGGAACCACGUUUAUUGGGUUUAAAGCAUCCGUAGCCGGUUCGGCAAAUGCCCUGUGAAAUCGUUGUGCUUAACACAACGGCGCGCAGGGUAGACUACCAAACUAGGGACCAGGGGAGGAAGACGGUAUUCCUGAGGGAGCGGUAAAAUGUGAUAAUCUCAGGAGGACCACCGAUGGCGAAGGCAGUCUUCUAAAAUGGAUCCGACGGUGAGGGAUGAAAGCUAGGGGAGCGAUCCGGAUUAGAUACCCGAGUAGUCCUAGCCGUAAACGCUGCAUGCCAGAUGUUACACAAUCUUCGAGAUUGUGUAGUGUCGAAACGAAGGUGUUAAGCAUGCCACCUGGGAAGUACGGUCGCAAGGCUGAAACUUAAAGGAAUUGGCGGGGGAGCACAAUCACUAGUGAAU